UACGGAGGGGCUAGCGUUGUUCGGAAUUACUGGGCGUAAAGCGCACGUAGGCGGCUUUGUAAGUUAGAGGUGAAAGCCCGGGGCUCAACUCCGGAAUUGCCUUUAAGACUGCAUCGCUAGAAUUGUGGAGAGGUAAGUGGAAUUCCGAGUGUAGAGGUGAAAUUCGUAGAUAUUCGGAAGAACACCAGUGGCGAAGGCGACUUACUG
rnacentral:rRNA from 1 species